rnacentral:misc_RNA from 1 species
ACACACACACACACACGCAUGCACACACUUAAUAAGCUAUAAUUUGCAUGCUUUAAUAAAAGUUUAGCAUCUCAGCUUGAUGCUGAUGGAAAAGAUAGAUAAGGAGAACUGGACAAGUUGCCCCCUCUUCUACCUUUUCCUUUGGGGGUUCAUCUCACUUUACGACAGAGAGUUUAAUGGAACUAGAGUUACCUCUGAUGUGAAUGCGAUGAUAGUUUUAGGGACUUACUGACUGUUAUCAUUAUUCCAUUAGAAAACAAAGUCUUCUAGUCAUGAAGAUUAACAUCUCAUUUCUUUUCUCAUUUUUAUCCAAUAAGAUCAUACAUGAACUUGUUUCAAUUUAUUUUAAUAAGCAUGUUUUGACAAGUUUGUACACUAGUGCAGGCUGAGAAAAAGUUGGCAAUCA